ensembl:lncRNA
GUUCAGUACCACGUGAUAAUGGACAGAGACAGUCUCAGGUAGAGUUCAGUACCACGUGAUAAUGGACAGAGACAGUCUCAGGUAGAGUUCAGUACCACGUGAUAAUGGACAGAGACAGUCUCAGGUAGAGUUCAGUACCACGUGAUAAUGGACAGAGACAGUCUCAAGUAGAGUUCAGUACCAUGUGAUAAUGGACAGAGACAGUCUCAGGUCCAGAAUCUCCAGAUGUUCAUCACUUUGGCUUUACAACAGACAAAUAUAGUAGCCUACACUCAGCAAUCAUAAACAGUGUUUUGUGUGAACCCAUAAGGGAUGUCAAUGUGACUUCAUAUUGUGUCCUGCUGAAGUCUAUUAUUCAGAGAAGGACUUAGCUGUUUUCCUUCUAAUCUCGAUCCAGGAUCAAUCUGUUCCCUAAUCCAAACCUUCUAAUCUCGAUCCAGGAUCAAUCUGUUCCCUAAUCCAAACCUACGCUCUGAUAUGAUCAAUACAAGUGAAUAUUAAUGCUGCCUAAAUAAAUGAGAUAAUGUCUCUCUCUCUCUCUGUCUCUAAACCAGAGUCUGUUUCGUCCAGUUAAGACUAAAUGACAGGCUAAGUAAUUAGAGGGAGAUCAUCCGUCUUGGAAUUCAGGGUGAGAGAAAGAC